AUUAGCUUUCUCUCUUUAAAAGGCAUCCUCUUCUUUUUCUCUAGCCAAAACCCAUUCAAAAACCAGAAAUUGGUGAUCAUCGGCCCUUCCUACCAUUAAUCAAUGCCAGAAACCAUCGUCGAUCACCAGGGAUUUCUUCUAUCUUUAUCCCUUUUUUCAGCCAAACCUCAACAACUUAUCCCAGAAACCUCCGUCAGUUAGCCAUCCGUCGCCUCUCACCGUUCAAGAUAACCAACGAUUUCACUAGGUUCCUUCAACUUUUUGUCACCUUGCAGAGACAAAAUCCACGUCGUAUUUGAAAUCUUAUGUGGAAACCUUUCUAAUUUUCUGCCCAAAAUUGAAACCUAGCUGCAACCCAAAAAAUAAAAGACCUGAAUAUUGUCACCUAUUUUCUAGAAUCAGGCGAGCUCACUGUCACCUCCACCACAUUCCUUUGCACUUGUUCCUUCCCUUUAACUUCUUUCUUUUGUGUUUUCUCUACACACGAAGAAUGAACUCCUUCAAUCACAAAUCAGAAUCCAACUGAACAAAUCCUUACCCAAAAUUUCCUUUUCCCUUUUUACUUUUUGUAUUUGGUUGCUGCUAUUCUUGUUGAUUGUGUCCACUAUAGAUUGUGGUUGUUCUCUAUUUAUGGAUGGGUAAGGGUUCUAGGCAUGGGUUGAUUUUCAGCUUGCUAGUUCUGUCUGAAGUUUUGGGUUGUUUGGUUGUAUUGCUUUUGUAUGAAAUUCGGGAAUUACUUCCUACUAUGUGAUUUUCUAGAUUGAUGGAUUUUGUUUCUGUCUUGGGGCUUGAAAUUGGCUUUGGAGUUUUCUGGGUUUAUUGCUGGAUAAUUGAGAUUUCUCUAUGUCUGGGCUUUGCCAAACCAAAAAAAUUGCAUGAAUGUCUACGGCUGAAUUACUUCCUUGUGAUUGCUUGUUGAUUCUAUAAUUGCUUGAUUUAAUUGAACUUUGCUACGCAAAAUGCCAUUUGCUGGAAAUGGCCAAUUCUAUUUUGAUGCUCGUCUGAUUGCUCUUUAUGCUGAAUUCCUUGCUGCCUCUUUUUGUGUAUUGUUUUAUGAUUUUUGUCAAUCAAGCUUUUCCUCUAGAAAUUGAGCUUGUAAUUGCUUGAUGCUGAAAACUACUAAUUUGCCCCUUUGAAACUUUGCCUGAAACUGUCUCUUCUACUGAUUGUCUAUUUUCUAUGAGGCCUCGCCAUAUGUGUUUUAUGUUCAGG
rnacentral:lncRNA from 1 species